ACCGAAUACAUUAGCAUGGGAUAAUGGAAUAGGACCCUGUCCUCCUUUUUUCAGUUGGUUAAUUCAUGAGAGAGGAACAGGGUAAUGAUUAAUAGGGAUAGUUGGGGGCAUUAAUAUUUAAUUGUCAGAGGUGAAAUUCUUGGAUUUAUGAAAGAUUAACUUCUGCGAAAGCAUCUGCCAAGGAUGUUUUCAUUAAUCAAGAACGAAAGUUAGGGGAUCGAAGACGAUCAGAUACCGUCGUAGUCUUAACCAUAAACGAUGCCGACCAGCGAUUAGGAGACGUUGAAUACAAAACACCUCUAUAUAUAAUUCAAUGUAUGAUCAGUCAAAUGGUUGUAUAUUGUUUGUGUAUAGUCACGGGGAAAGAAUC
rnacentral:rRNA from 1 species